UUGGAUCACCAGUGAGUGGCGGACGGGUGAGUAACAUGUAGGUAACCUGCCCCGGAGCGGGGGAUAACAUUUGGAAACAGAUGCUAAUACCGCAUAACAACAAAAGCCACAUGGCUUUUGUUUGAAAGAUGGCUUUGGCUAUCACUCUGGGAUGGACCUGCGGUGCGUUAGCUAGUUGGUAAGGUAACGGCUUACCAAGGCGAUGAUGCAUAGCCGAGUUGAGAGACUGAUCGGCCACAAUGGAACUGAGACACGGUCCAUACUCCUACGGGAGGCAGCAGUAGGGAAUCUUCCACAAUGGGCGCAAGCCUGAUGGAGCAACACCGCGUGAGUGAAGAAGGGUUUCGGCUCGUAAAGCUCUGUUGUUGGAGAAGAACGUGCGUGAGAGUAACUGUUCACGCAGUGACGGUAUCCAACCAGAAAGUCACGGCUAACUACGUGCCAGCAGCCGCGGUAAUACGUAGGUGGCAAGCGUUAUCCGGAUUUAUUGGGCGUAAAGCGAGCGCAGGCGGUUGCUUAGGUCUGAUGUGAAAGCCUUCGGCUUAACCGAAGAAGUGCAUCGGAAACCGGGCGACUUGAGUGCAGAAGAGGACAGUGGAACUCCAUGUGUAGCGGUGGAAUGCGUAGAUAUAUGGAAGAACACCAGUGGCGAAGGCGGCUGUCUGGUCUGCAACUGACGCUGAGGCUCGAAAGCAUGGGUAGCGAACAGGAUUAGAUACCCUGGUAGUCCAUGCCGUAAACGAUGAGUGCUAGGUGUUGGAGGGGUUUCCGCCCCUUCAAGUGCCGGGAGGCUAACGCAUUAAGCACUUCCGCGUGGGGAGUACGACCGCAAGGUUGAAACUCAAGGGAAUUGACGGGGGGCCCGCACAAGCGGUGGAGCAUGUGGUUUAUUUUGAAGCUACGCGAAGAGCCUUACCAGGUCUUGACAUCUUGCGCUAACCUUAGAGAUAAGGCGUUCCCUUCGGGGACGCAAUGACAGGUGGUGCAUGGUCGUCGUCAGCUCGUGUCGUGAGAUGUUGGGUUAAGUCCCGCAACGAGCGCAACCCUUGUUACUAGUUGCCAGCAUUAAGUUGGGCACUCUAGUGAGACUGCCGGUGACAAACCGGAGGAAGGUGGGGACGACGUCAGAUCAUCAUGCCCCUUAUGACCUGGGCUACACACGUGCUACAAUGGACGGUACAACGAGUCGCAAGCUCGCGAGAGUAAGCUAAUCUCUUAAAGCCGUUCUCAGUUCGGACUGUAGGCUGCAACUCGCGAACACGAAGUCGGAAUCGCUAGUAAUCGCGGAUCAGCAUGCCGCGGUGAAUACGUUCC
rnacentral:rRNA from 1 species